CAUACAAACUCGUUCUUGAGGCUUUAGACAAAUAUAUUUUCUUGUUGACCAAGGCACAUGAUUAAAAUGAUUUUCUUUUUUUUGGUUUUUGUUUUUAUUGACUUUGAAGGUUAGCAGCCUCACAAUUUGCGAUUACAAUAUUUAUCCCCAUCCACCAAAUCGCCCUCCUUCAUUUUACUUCUGCCAGACUGGGGUGUUGAUGAAUCAGAUUAGAUAUACAUUAGACAAGUUAAACUAACGUAUUGUGUUAAAAGAAUUUGUCAAAAAUGGCCAGCUUGAAGUUAUCGGUAAACCAUGCACUAUAAAUACUCCUUUUCUAUCAGACAGGCAUUACAAUAAAACAUACAUAAGAAAACAAGCAAAACAGAGAGUGAAUAACUAAAGAGAAGGCAAUUAAGGAUGGCAUCAAUAUGCAAAGGGAAAGAUUCAUGGCCUGAGUUGGUGGGAAAGCAAGGAAAGUUUGCUGAGGAGACAAUUGAGAAGGAGAAUCCCAAUGUUAAUGCUGAGAUUGUGUUGGAAGGCACUGGUGUAACAGAGGAUUUCCGAUGUGAUAGGGUUUGGGUUUGGGUUGAUGGAUAUGGCACUGUCACAAGGGUCCCUGUAAUUGGUUAGAGCAGGUUAAUUACCUCCAUUACUAUUAACAAAUAAAAUUAAAUAAGGAGAAACUAUAUAUAUAUAUAUAUAUACACUCCCUAUGCAAUGAAAUUCUUCUGUGAUUGUAUAUUUGAUUUGGAUAUUAUCAAUAAAAAGUCCAUGUGGCUUAGUUAAUAACACUAAGUUGCAGAGUAAUAUUCUUCUUAC